AAGCCGACGAUCAUCACCAACGCCGAGGGCCAACGGACGACGCCGUCGGUCGUCGCCUACACGAAGAACGGGGAUCGGCUCGUUGGACAGAUCGCCAAGCGCCAGGCCGUGGUCAACCCUGAGAACACCUUCUUCUCAGUCAAGCGGUUCAUCGGCCGCAAGAUGGCUGAGGUCUCUAAUGAGUCCAAGCAGGUGUCGUAUUCGGUCGUGCGGGACGAGAACGGGAAUGUGAAGCUGGAUUGUCCGGCGAUUGGGAAGCAGUUCGCUGCGGAAGAAAUCUCCGCACAGGUUUUGAGGAAGCUUGUUGACGAUGCUUCGAGGUUUCUGAAUGAUAAGGUUACUAAAGCGGUGGUUACGGUUCCUGCCUAUUUCAAUGACUCGCAGAGGACUGCGACAAAGGAUGCUGGACGGAUUGCUGGUUUAGAAGUUCUUCGCAUUAUCAAUGAACCUACUGCGGCUUCAUUGGCUUAUGGAUUUGAG
rnacentral:misc_RNA from 1 species